rnacentral:rRNA from 1 species
GACGAACGCUGGCGGCGUGCCUAAUACAUGCAAGUAGGACGCAGUUGCGAACGGGUGAGUAACGCGUAGGUAACUACCUAUUAGAGGGGGAUAACUAUGGGAAACGAUAGCUAAUACCGCAUACUAGUAGAUGGACCUGCGUUGUAUUAGCUAGUAGGGAGGGUAAUGGCCUACCUCGGCAACGAUACAUAGCCGACCUGAGAGGGUGAUCGGCCACAAUGGGGCUGAUGCCCGGCCCAGACUCCUACGAGAGGCAGCAGUAGGGAAUCUUCGGCAAUGGGGGGAACCCUGACCGAGCAACUCCGCUGGAGUGAAGAAGGUUUUCGGAUCGUAAAGCUCUGUUGUUAAGGAAGCGGUACUUAACCAGAAAGGGACGGCUAACUACGUGCCAGCAGCCGCGGUAAUAC